UACGUAGGGUGCAAUCGUUAAUCGGAAUUACUGGUCGUAAAGCGUGCGCAGGCGGUUUUGUAAGUCUGACGUGAAAGCCCCGGGCUCAACCUGGGAAUUGCGUUGGAGACUGCAAGGCUAGAAUCUGGCAGAGGGGGGUAGAAUUCCACGUGUAGCAGUGAAAUGCGUAGAGAUGUGGAGGAACACCGAUGGCGAAGGCAGCCCCCUGGGUCAAGAUUGACGCUCAUGCACGAAAGCGUGGGGAGCAAAAAGG
rnacentral:rRNA from 1 species